AAUCUGCACACAUGACCCCUUUUUAGAUCAUCUAUUUUUUGAAAAAAAAUUAUGAGCUAUUGUCAUCACCUUGGCGUCUGCGUCUGCGUCGGCGUCCGGUUAAGUUUUGCGUUUAGGUCCACUUUUUUCAGAAAGUAUCAAUGCUAUUGCAUUCAAACUUGGUACACUUACUUACUAUCAUGAGGGGACUGGGCAGGCAAAGUUAGAUAACUCUGGCGUGCAUUUUGACAGAAUUAUGUGCCCUUUUUAUACUUAGAAAAUUGAAAAUUUUGGUUAAGUUUUGCGUUUAGGUCCACUUUUUUCAGAAAGUAUCAAUGCUAUUGCAUUCAAACUUGGUACACUUACUUACUAUCAUGAGGGGACUGGGCAGGCAAAGUUAGAUAACUCUGGCGUGCAUUUUGACAGAAUUAUGUGCCCUUUUUAUACUUAGAAAAUUGAAAUUUUUUGUUAAGUUUUGUGUUUAGGUCCAUUUUAUUCCUUAAGUAUCAAAGCUAUUGCUUUCAUACUUGCAACACUUAUUAACUAUCAUAAGGGGACUGUGCAGGCAAAGUUAUGUAACUCUGACUGGCAUUUGGACGGAAUUAUGGGCCCUUUAUACUUAGAAAAUUUGGUUAAGUUUUGUGUUUUGGUCCACUUUACCACCUAAAUUAUCAUAGAUAUUGCUUUCAUACUUGGAACACUCGCAAACUAUCAUAAGGGUACAGUAAAAGGACAAGUUGCAUAACUUUGGAUGUCAUUUUUAUGGAAUUAUGGCCCUUUUUUGACUUAGUAACUUUGAAUAUAUGGUUAAAUUUUGUGUUUCGAUCCACUUUACUUCUUAAGUA